rnacentral:lncRNA from 1 species
UGGAUCACUGUAAAAGGACUUGUCAUCACAGUUACAACGAAUCAAUCUUAGUUUCUCAAAGGAAACUAGAACUAAACAAAAUCCGAGUUUCUAAAGCGGUGGCUACUGAGUUUAUAUCUAAAGGGGCAAACUAGGGUUGGGGGCGACUAGGAAGGGGGCACUCACAACUUAGGCUUAAGGCCUAACACGAUACAAGGCCAAGUUGGCCCAAAACUGGUGACGUAGCACCUUGUUGUAGUCACACAGAAUGAUCUACAAUCCUUCUGGAGCUAGGACCAAAACCAAAAGAACGAUGUCUUCAUCC